rnacentral:lncRNA from 1 species
GAGCUAGACUGUGCAACCUCAAUACCCAGAAAAUACUUUAGUGUGCCCAGAUCCUUAGUCUGAAAGUGUUGAAAGAGAUGUUGCUUCAUUUUAGUAAUACUAUCCUGGUCAUUGCCGGUAAUAACGAUGUCGUCAACAUAGACCACUAGAUAAAUACAGAGACGUGAAUCAGAAUGCCGAUUGAAUACAGAGUGAUCAGCUGCACUCCGAGUCAUGCCAAAGUCCUGGAUAACAGUGCUAAACUUACCAA